rnacentral:misc_RNA from 1 species
GAUGAAGAACGUAGCGAAAUGCGAUAAGUAAUGUGAAUUGCAGAAUUCAGUGAAUCAUCGAAUCUUUGAACGCACAUUGCGCCCGCCAGUAUUCUGGCGGGCAUGCCUGUUCGAGCGUCAUUUCAACCAUCAAGCCCCCGGCUUGUGUUGGGGACCUGCGGCUGCCGCAGGCCCUGAAAAGCAGUGGCGGGCUCGCUGUCACACCGAGCGUAGUAGCAUACAUCUCGCUCUGGGCGUGCUGCGGGUUCCGGCCGUAAAACCACCUUCAUAACCCAAGGUUGACCUCGGAUCAGGUAGGAAGACCCGCUGAACUUAAGCAUAUCAAUAAGCGGAGGA